rnacentral:pre_miRNA from 1 species
AAUGUAUGACGCCGUUGACUUUUUGUCUAACGCUUGACCAUUCGUUUUAUUCAAAAAAAAUUUAUAAAAUUAUCAUUUAUUUUAUUGUGACUUGAUUCAUCAUCAAAUGUUCUUUAAGAAUGACAUAAAUAUUUUCAUAUUUUUACAAAGAUUUUAAAUAAAACGAAUGGUCAAACGUUAGUCAAAAAGUCAACGGCGCCAUACAUU